rnacentral:rRNA from 1 species
ACAAGACAAUCCAAGACACGUUAUUAUAUUAUUUCUCUUUACAAACUGCUUCCACAUCUUUUUUUUAAACAACGCGUAAAACGUCUACGUCUGCAGCCCACUUGUCUUGCCCCCGGGUUGUGUUGGUGAUUCGGGCUCACGUGCCACUUGAGCAGAGACGAUGAGGGUGGUGAGGCGAGGUACACACACACACACCACACCGAUCGAUCCAGAACGGCGGCGGCGGGUUUACUUUCUCUCGCACCUGCCGCCGGCGGCGGCGGCGGCGUCCGGGGUUUGGGUGCGCUCACUGCUCCGGCAGCCUCACUGGGCGGCGGUAGGGGUCGAAGUGCGCUCGCUCCUCCCUCGGCCUCACCGAGCGGCGGCGAGGGCAAGGGUCUAGGCGCGCUGGUCGCUCCCGCGACUUCACUAGACGGCGGCGCCUCAGAAGGGCCGUCGCGACCGGAGCGGCUAACUUCUGCUGCUGGAGGACUCCCUCUAGGAGGAGGCAGAAGGCGGCGUCGGGAGGAGCGAGCAGGCCCGGAGGCGCCAGACGUUCGUCACCGCCACGCGCCGGUGGCUGGGGUUCAAGGAGGCGGCGAAGGUGGAGGUGGUGGCCUUCGGCGGGGAGGAGCCGGAGAAGGUGGCGGCGUUCCUACUAUAGCAGAAGUGGGGGUAGUACCUGGCUGGGCUGGCUUAGGGAGGUUCAGCCAAGCUGGACGUAGAGGACCUGUAGCUGUCGGUGUGGUACACCUACCAGCUUGACGAACUAACGGCGGUGCCGGCGCAGGAAGAGUACCUGUGUGACACCCUACUCCAGUAGUACACGCUUGGAUAGUGGCCGCUCGUCGCGGCGAACUGGCAAGGCGGUCUCAAGCAUUCCUUAGCGAAGUGGCCCCGACACGAGACACGACGGUAGCUGGUACUGGUGCACGUGCCUUCGACGGUGAACUCGGGUAAGUUGCACCACAACUAGAGGCGAGAGCCUCCCUUAUUAGUUGGAUAGCGCACACAAAUGAGGAGCCUCUGACCACUUACCCCACUAUAGUAAGGUAGUAGGCAAAGUAAACUCGAAAAAAUACUGGUAUGGGGACCCAACGAACAACCAUUACGGGAAAUGACCAACAACCUAAGAUAUCCGGUACUAUAUGAAUUCAAACUAAACCUAUUCGUCUCGGAUCGACACUAAUCCCCCGGAGGAGAAUGUUUACUAAAAGCGGUACCAUCAGUAACGUAGUAGGUCCGACCCCUAACGCGGUAACCCAAGCGGUAUAACAGAAUGGGAGUGAACGUUUACACCGUCUCCUUAUAGUUAAAAGUACCACAACGGUGUACCCACGAUACCUUUUGUUAACUGUACGCAUACUAAUAACCCGAGGGAUUUGUCUAAGUUCCUUUCUCCUGUGAAUACUCUGCAUAUAACCCUAUGGAACUCCUAUCACUACUUUAUGAAGAUAGACACCCGGCACCACGGAUAUUCCAAGUUGAAUUCAGCUUCUUCAGAUUUUUUGAAACACUUUUGUCAAUAAAUUGAGCGAUAGUAAGAAAGUUGUCAAAGAUAGGAGGUCCACUAAAAAGUAGGAAUCAGGAGUAUAACAUCCUCAUUGAAUUAUGGAAACAACGCUAAGAGUUCACAUUGUUGAAUUUGAAUCGAUAACACGGAAACGAUCUAUCUGUUUGAAUAUCGAUAUAACGGAUUAAAUACAAUAGUAAGUUAUGUAAACAGCAGUACGAAGUGAUAAUUAAAGGAUCUAUCUGUUCGAAUACCGGAAGAAAACACAAUAGUAAUUUAUAUCAACAGAAGGAGGCACCCUCUAUUGUUUAGUUUAUAGUUCACCCAUUAUUACACUUUAGUUUACAGUUUACCAAAUUGAGUACACGAUCGAUAUAAGCAACUAUGAUAUAAAAAGUAGAACGAAAAAAAAAAGAGUUGAGGUAUUUCUUGAAGGCAAGUUUGUCAUGGAAGGUUUUGUUGUCAAAGUCAAAACUGAAUAAGUUCUCAUAGGACGUUCACUGAUCACGUUGUGUGUAAAAAAAGCAUAAGAAAGAAAUGAUUUAAACUUAUGGGUCCUAGUGAAAACGGCCAUCACAAAUACUCAAAAGCGUACAAAGAUAAAACAGAAGAAGUUUACUCCUCACUACUCAAUCUACUCUAAUUAAGAACUGGUACAAAAGGAAAAAUAUUCGAUUUAAGAAGUUAUACUCCAUCGAUAUAUAUAGAUAUAACAAAUUUACUUAUAAGGAACGUUUUUCGUUUUAUACACCAAAAUAAAGAAUGCUCAUAGUCAUCACUCAACGUUUUGCAUUUAUGUUCACACAAAAAGGAUAUAAACAGUUAAGUAGAUACAUUAUCUGAGUGACAACGGAAAAGUAAAGGUAAACAUAAAAACAACCUUGAAAUAAUUUAUAGACGGAAUACGAAGAUCCUUGUAGGUAACGACCGCCUACACUACCUUUACUACGUACGAUGUGUUCCACUAACAGACCAAACUACAAGAUUACACGAUUUUACCAUUGUCCACUUCUUCCCGACGACGUCUACAAUCAAGAGUGACUCAAACACGUAAGGUAGUUACAACAGUCGUCACAAAUACACAAUAGAUUUUGUUGAAUGGCACAGAAUCAGAUCGGUUCAGAGAUUACGUCGUUCUACGAAAACUUAUGGACUAGGUCCCUUAAGUCGAAUGAUCAUAAUAUAGUUCAGAGCCUAAAGCAGCAGAGAACAAGAACAAACCACAAACACGAACCGUCGAGCAGAUAACUCGGUACUAUCAAAGUCAGGACACAUAGUGGUUUAGAACAAACAAACUCACACGAACAAUCGACGCCAAACUUUUCGUACAGAUGACAGAACAGAACUUUCACUCAAAACGAAACGACGACGAACAGGUUGUAAUGAAUGGAACAUUACCAAGUAAACUCGGUCUCGUGAGUAGUGACUGAGUCGAUAAACCACGACUUCUAUGAGCUUUAGCGUCCUUGACCUGUCGACUUUGACGACGCUCAUCGAAGGAACAACCGUUCACCUUAAUUUGGACAUCCACACACGAAAAUGUCAAACUAACUCUUUGAGUAUAAAAGGACAUCUAACCCUUCCUACAGCUCAUGGAGGACCACCGUUUCGAAAGACGUCGUCAAAUCAUAACAAGGGUUUAACAAGUCUAGGCUUCCACAACGGUAAAUACAACACGCCGAACGAACGUAACCAAAGAGGAGUUGGACUUGACUUGUGUAAAAGAAAGAAGUCACACAUUACCUCUUUCCUUUACCAACUAUUUUGGUUCUCCGUGUCUGUCUCUACACGACGUAGUCUCAUGAAGAGAUCUAACCACGCGACCUUUACAAGUUGCUAGAUACUAGCUGACGUAACUAGUUUUUCUUCUCUUUUUUUUUGUCCAAACUCGUAUUUGUCUUCGUACAGACGGACAGCAACUUCUUUGGUACACGUGACGUUGCUAGUUGGACGGAAAACAAACUUCAUGUGACGACAAAACAAACUCCAUGUGACGACGUACGUGAUCAGAAAACGUACCCGGUAUUUGGUCUACGGAGGAUGAGCGCCAAAGAUUGUGUUCGUACGGUAUCGACAUUGGUAGACUGAUCACACUAUAACAAGGUUUCAAGUCUCUUGUAUCACGACCUAGAACCCGACGUUACGUUACGUCGGGUGGGAAGGACAUCGACGUCAGUCACUAAUACUACUACGAAAGUAGGGAACGUGUGUCGAAACGUUCGCGUUUAAGGAUUUAUACGACUAACCUUCUUAAUAUCGUUUCGGGAGAUCGACAGUUUACCUUGUUUGUUUCCCGAAGUAAACAAAUCGUAAAAUGUAAACCGACAGUUGGCUUUUUUA